rnacentral:lncRNA from 1 species
AAAAAUGCGAAGAGUGACAAGCAACAUACUGAAGCUUCUCUUCUUGAUGUCUUCAUCUCAGAAAUCACUGAAAGUCUGCGUGUGAACUGCCUGCUGGAAAGGCUCCUGAGAUGCUCCAGCUGCCAAACCAGGUCCAGAAAAUGAUCAGGGAAAGAAUUUGUUGGAAGUGACCAAAAUAAUGUCAGAAAAACAUCUAAUGCUUUACUAGCAUAAAUUAUCAUGCUCCAGUGCCAGAGAACCUGCUCAGGCAUGUUCAGUUU